rnacentral:rRNA from 1 species
CCUACGGGUGGCAGCAGUGGGGAAUAUUGCACAAUGGGCGCAAGCCUGAUGCAGCCAUGCCGCGUGUGUGAAGAAGGCCCUCGGGUUGUAAAGCACUUUCAGCGGGGAGGAAGGCGGUGAGGUUAAUAACCUCAUCGAUUGACGUUACCCGCAGAAGAAGCACCGGCUAACUCCGUGCCAGCAGCCGCGGUAAUACGGAGGGUGCAAGCGUUAAUCGGAAUUACUGGGCGUAAAGCGCACGCAGGCGGUCUGUCAAGUCGGAUGUGAAAUCCCCGGGCUUAACCUGGGAACUGCAUUCGAAACUGGCAGGCUAGAGUCUUGUAGAGGGGGGUAGAAGCCCAGGUGUAGCGGUGAAAUGCGUAGAGAUCUGGAGGAAUACCGGUGGCGAAGGCGGCCCCCUGGACAAAGACUGACGCUCAGGUGCGAAAGCGUGGGGAGCGAACAGGAUUAGAUACCCGGGUAGUC